rnacentral:rRNA from 1 species
UAGGGAAUCUUCCACAAUGGACGCAAGUCUGAUGGAGCAACGCCGCGUGAGUGAAGAAGGNCUUCGGAUCGUAAAGCUCUGUUGUUGGUGAAGAAGGAUAGAGGCAGUAACUGGUCUUUAUUUGACGGUAAUCAACCAGAAAGUCACGGCUAACUACGUGCCAGCAGCCGCGGUAAUACGUAGGUGGCAAGCGUUGUCCGGAUUUAUUGGGCGUAAAGCGAGCGCAGGCGGAAUGAUAAGUCUGAUGUGAAAGCCCACGGCUCAACCGUGGAACUGCAUCGGAAACUGUCAUUCUUGAGUGCAGAAGAGGAGAGUGGAACUCCAUGUGUAGCGGUGGAAUGCGUAGAUAUAUGGAAGAACACCAGUGGCGAAGGCGGCUCUCUGGUCUGCAAACUGACGCUGAGGCUCGAAAAGCAU